ensembl:lncRNA
UGAUGUCUUUUCUUCUAGUGAAGGGGUUGAUUUUAACCGACUGUAAUGUUUUAGGCUGACGUGAUAAACUCUUGCUCUAAUGGCAAACCAGUUAAAAAGCAGACCUGGGAGCAGCAAUACCAGCUUGUCACCCAACACUGCUUGCCUUGAGUAGGACAUUUAUUGACCAUGUGUCCAAGGGGGAUCCCAUCAGCAACCCAAGAGAGAAAUGCUGUUCAGAAAAAUCACAGGAUGAUGCUGUGCAGCUCUCACUUGUUCUGAGGACACCCAUGAUCUCCAUCAGUUUUCUCAGGUAUUUUCAGGUGGAGAGGGAUAAAUUGGCACAAGCUGUUGUAUGGAACAAUUCUUUCUUUAUUUAGAGAUAUU